UUUCUUCAACUUUACACCAGCAAUACCAUUAGAAUGUCCCUCAUGAGAUUUUGGUGAGGAUUAACGGGAGUAACACACUGAAAACAGUAUCCGGUACCUACUAAGGUGAAUUAAGACAAAAAUAUAUGAUGUGUGAAGAUAAUGUAUCCCAUAUUAUAAAUAGUAUUGAUGAGGUCCUCAUCAAGAAAGCAGCAGAUAUCAAAUAGAAAGAGGAAACACAAUGUUUAACAUGCCGAGAAGAACAGUAAAUGAGAUCUAUUACUGUAAAAGUGUUGAGAAUUAGUGCAUCUCAGCAUCAAAAGAUAACAGAUGUGAAGCCAAUGAGGACAUCGGAAUGACACUCAAAAUAUUGUAACAAAUAUGGCACCAAGCUGGGAUUCGUGAGUAGCUUCCCAUGCAGGUAUCGGAUGCGCCUCUCCUGCACGCUGGGGUAGAAGGAGGCCGACACCAGGAUUUUAAGUUGCGUCAGGAUGGAGGACAGCAGGCCCAGCACCACUAGUGUCCCAAGAAUAAUGCUGAGAGGAAUCCAGGUCUUCGACAGAAGGAGCUUUGGUGCAGGGAUGCAGAGUCGGGAUGCUCAUGAGACUGUUGAAGUUUCUGCUGAAGAUGUCAAAGAAAUCCAUUCAAGUUUAGCCUGCAAAUGUGACCACAUAACCCAGUUUUAUGGAACACCUGUCUCUAUACUGUAGGACAUGUAAGAAAGAUGAAGGAUGAUUUUAGCUCAACUAGAGGAGAAGAUUUUAGAAACAUAGACCUGGUUGUAUCUCCCCAUCUUGACAAAUACUCUGACAGACCACAAGGUCACAAAGAGGUGGAAGCAUUAAAUUAUGUUCUUUUUUUUUUUUUUUUUUUUUUAAAUUAUGUUCUAAGUCAACCUUCUAGACAUUGGAGAUGGGGAAUUAUUCUUAGUGUAAGGAUAGUAAGAACAGUAUUUGCUGAAGGUGGCUUUAAAUCCUAUCUGUAGACAUCUCAAACAGGACAUUUUCUCAUUUCUCCUGGAUGCUCGGGUGGAAAAUGCUCCUUUCUGCUUGAAGGCAAGAGGACAAACCAGUUGCCCUCAAUGGACUGACACAGAGGACAGAGGAUGACAUUGAGCCCCCCCAGUCAAGCCACCUGCAAGAGUAGCACGUGCUGAUUCAGCGCUUUGCUUUCCCUGACCUGAGAAAGUCAUUUCAUCUCCCCAUGGAUUUGUUUUCUAAUUUGGUAAAACAGGAAUUAAUGGACCAGAUCUUGCCCAUGAAUAAACUACUCCCAGUGUAAAUUAAGCAUGUUGGGGAUGGAGCAUUAACCUUACAGCUGGGAGUCCUUAGUAAGUUAUUAUCACCGCUGCACCCCAGAGCCCUGGGGCCAGGAAGAGGAAAUGACUUCUCCAGAAGAACACAGCCACAUCUAGAGAACAAAGUGCACCAGGUACUGAUCUACCCCAGUACCUGCGAAGACUCUGGACACUUCAAAUCCGGGCCUCUCUCCAAACGUCAAGUCAAAUCUAUCAUUUCCCCGGCCCUAUACCUAAGCAACCAAAAGCAUUUGUGUUGCCUCUCCUUUUCUCUUAUUAAAAAGAUGGCUCGCCUACAAUUAAAUAGAGAGAUUUCAGUUCCCAGAGCGAAAGGCAUGCUCUCUCUUUAAUACUGUUGAAGAAACAAGCACAUCAACUGACUCAGUGAUGAGAAAUCCUGCAAUAAAAAAGCAGCGGGUAUAUGGUCUGGGAAGAAAUUAGUCUGGGAAUCUAACUGGGGAUUUUGCAAUUGGGAGUCAGGGCUUCAUAAAGAUUGAGUCAACAUUUUUGUACAGGUUUGGUAGAGGGUAAUGCGGGAGACAAAUGAAUUCUCUCAAAAUGCUGAGCAAUAUUCUAAAUGGUACCCUGAUGUUUUAAAACGUGUUUACCUCUCCUAAGUAAACAAUUUGCCAAGAGAGCGUUGAGUAAUGGACCGAGGACCCGCUCUGCUAUCAGACAGUCCUGAGAAGUUAAUGCAGACAAUUGCUAUGCACAAGGAGGUGCUCAGUAACCAUGUUAUUUUUACUUACAAUGUCCACCUAUCCAGCUAGCUCACUUUGGGUCAUUUCCCUUAUUUCUUCUUUGCAUAAAACACUUACUUAAAAUCAUAUGAGAGUGGGAGAGAAAUACUGGCAAACUUUGAGGUGAUAUUUCUCUCCCUGCUGGACCUCUCCUUUGCAAACCUGUGGCAAUGGAGGGACCAGGAGCCUCUAAGGGGAUGCUGGGGUAAGGGCAGGCAUGACGGGAGAAAGCUUGAGAGGAGCCCCAUAGCGGUCUCAUACCCACAUGUGCCCCAGCUCCCACUGCUCUGCUGUCACUAUAGGAGCACGUGGCGGCCUCCCCCACCAGGAUGUGAGCGUGCCGUGGCAGGUGGCAAAGCUUAGACAUCUUUGCAUCCCCAGGACCCAGUGACGCCCAUAAAUGUAUUUGUCAAGACAUUGUCACUGAAAGCUUCUGGGCUUUUUUUGGAAGGCAGAUCUUGCUUUUUUUCUCCUUCUGUCUAAAAUGGUGAGAAUUCACAAAACAGGCAUAGGGUAUUGGCUGAGAGAGAAAUAAAUGAGAGAGAAGAGAAAAGAGAAGGGAGGAGAGGAAGACUUGACCGAGGAAAGAAGAGAAAGGAGAAUGGGUUGGAGGACAGGAAGGGAGAGACCCUUUUACCUGCCAGCCCUAAGAUCAGGCAUGUCAGACAAUCUAGUUUGGCUUUCACCUAAAACACUGCUCCCAGGCAAGGCACCUGGUGGCCCAGUCAGUUAAGUGGCUGCCUUUGGUUCAGGUCAUGAUCCCAGGGUCUUGGGGUGGACCCCCGUGUCGGGCUCCCUGCAUGAUAGGAAUCCAGCUUCUCCCUCUC